UUGUUAUCAGAGGUUAAAUAGUUUAUUUCCUGAAUCACCUGAUAAAAUUGUGUUGAACAAUCUGAAUUAUAUUUUAAAUAAGCUAAUGUUUUAUUUUUGUUCAGUAGAAUGUUAUGUUGGACUAACAAAUCAUUUUGGUUUGCUUUAAUAAUUAAGAAUAACGAUUUUUCAAAAUUUAAGUUGCAAGGCCCACUUUAUUUUCUGUCCUAAUUUUUAAAUGCCUACCCUAAUCAGUUGGGUCUAAGGUUGGUUCAUAGAGUGUCAAAGACCCUAAACUAUCCUAACCAUCUCAUUCUCUACACUUUUCAGAAAAUAUCAGUUUCCCUCACUCUCUCUUAGAACGACAGUUGUGCUCUGCUAGGGUUUGGGGUCUCAUCCGUCUUCGAGUUAGCUCAACUCCAUUUUCCAGUCCACCUCGCGAAUCUACUUCAGGAGUUGUCGUGCUCAUUUACUUAAGUGUCGAAAUGUUCUGCUAGCUUUUUCCAGAUGCGAGAACUCUCCCGUCGUCAUCAGGGUGAUGGAGAUUUUGCUGCUUAGUCCGUCUUGAGUCAGAUCCCGCUUAUUUUCGAGUUUUCUUUUAAAGCGAUAACCCUUGUAUUAUCUUGUUCUUUUUUUUGAAAAUUUAUUUUGAAUACUGUUCGAG